rnacentral:misc_RNA from 1 species
AGGCAGGCAGGGGAGAUAACAGAUGAAGGUGCAACCCUGACAUUGGGGUUGAAAGAUUUCUUCCUGGAUCUUUGAAAGUUUAACGUCCAUCAUAAGUUCUUUCAAAAUGGAAAUUUACAUGCUUGGCAACACAAUUUAUUCAUUGUUAAUGCCCUUGAUUUAUUUCAUGGAAAAUGAAAAAGGGAUACCGCUAGAAUGAAGUAUAACAAGAAAGGAGGAAAAUAUUCUUACGACUUGGCUUAGGUAAUAAGAGGGAAAGAAGGCUGGACUAGGUCUUAAAUUAA